rnacentral:lncRNA from 1 species
GGCUCCCCUCGGUCCUACAAGGAGCGCUGGAGGUGCUGCUCGGCCAGGAGCCUUUGCACCUCUGCUUCGCGUGGGAGGCGCCUUCAGCCUGCAGGGCAGCGAGAGGAAGGGUUUGUUCCUCCCGAGCGAGGACCCAGCUCCGGCCAGAGGGACCGGCCCCGUGCGGGAAGGAUGAAGUCAUCCCUGUGCCGCCGGCCCUAUUUGUCUGUCGCCGGCGGGGCGCAGGACGGGGCCCUAAAUACAGCUCCCCUGUCACCCGCGGGCUCGGCGAGGGGCUCACGGGGUCCCAAAAGGCAUCCGAUGGGCGUAGAGGGUCAGAGGGACUGCCCUUGGGCACGGCCCGAGCGAUCCCGCGUGCUUCUUGCCCUGGGUUUGGGCCACGGGGAGGCUAAGGGAACGCGGAGUUCAUCCCAGGCCUCCUCGCCGUGCCUCUCCUGCUCACACCCCGGCCCCUCCAUCCUGCGGGAGCCCUUCCCGGUGACUCAGCCGCCCUCUUAACUCUUGCCUCCCGGCCCCGGGUGCUUUCAGGUGCCGGCAGCCCGCGGGGCUCACGUUUUCCUCUGCCCUGCUGUGGCUGCUGCAGGGGGGGGUGCAGGAGCGCUGCCAGGCUCCCCGCCGCUGGCACCCAGCUCGCUGCCAGGCUGACGGGGCUGCGCCUUCCCCGCCUCCAGGUCUAUCUCAGGAAGGAUGUGGACGGGGAGGAUGACAAGCAGGAGGCUGCGAGCCCCCACUCCGGCGGGUUCUGCUCCCCGCUGGACAGAGGGUCCCCCUUGGAGGCGGCGGAGGGCUGGGUGCGAGGCAAGCUGCGGGACCUGAAGGACGGCUGCGAGCUGCAGGGCUGGGAGCAGGUGGCGCAGGCCCUGCAGAGGGAGAUGAAGGACUUCGACAACACCCUCAUCAAGCUCAGCCAGAUGGGCGAGCAGCUGGCGGACAGGCCCAGCCCCGGCGGCGAGGCGGUGCGGAGGCAGCUGCAGGCGCUGCGGGAGCAGUGGCAGCUCCUGAAGCAGACGGCCGCCAGCCAGAGCAGGGCCCUGGGGGGGCUGCGCAGCCUGCAGGACUUCAGCAGGAAGGCGGAGAGCCUGGAGGCGUGGAUCCGCAGCAAGGAGGAGAAGCCCUGCCUGGCGGCACUCCUGCAGGAAAGCCCGGAGAAGAUCCAGCUCACCCGCCGCAUCCUCGACUUGAAGCAGGUGGGCACAGCUCGGCUCCAUCUCGCAGCCCGUGC